CCCCCCACCCAGGGGUGGGGUAAACCACUCUUUAGCACUCAAUCGGAGCAGCAAUAUGGGUUGAUGUUUUCUCUGUUUUAGAGCCAUAGCUAAAGAGUGGGUCUUCCUUUGGAAAGGAACCAGGCAAGGGGGACAACUGCUCAGAAGCAUGCCUAGAAAGAGCAGUUCAAGUGGGAAACUGCUCAGACUCAUGCUUUCUAGGCAGAGGAUAAGCAGAAGUGUGGACAGGCCCCUAGUCUCUUGUCCGUAAGUUCAGCAGAUGGAAAGAUGGAGAGGGAGUCUCACAUGUGGCUUCACUUCCCAGAAUGCCUUGGGAGUGAUGGGAUGAGACAUGGCAGCGCUUCCUAAGCCUUCCAGGAACUGCACCCCGUGGGAAGCAACAAAGAGUGUCUUUUGCUGCUGUUCCCAGCUAUGGACAUUUUUUUUUAAGUUGAAACAAGCAAGGAAAAAAUAGAUCAUGGACUAUCUUGGUGUUUUGUUUUGUUUUUUGGCUAAAUAAUUUUUAUUUACUUUUACAUUUAUAUCAUAGUAAUAUCCAAUAACAUAACGUACAUUUUCUAAAUCUCCCCCAUGACUUCCCUCAACUUCCUCUUCUGUUUUUUUUAACAUAUAAAUUUCCCUGCUUAUUUUGUUAACUCUUGAAAUUAAACUUAACUUACAUGUUAUUAUCCUCUUACCAUUCUAACAUUAAUUUAUAUUUUCUAUAUCUAUAUUGAUUUUGUCCAUUGUAAGUGUUUACUCAAAACCUCCUAGUGAGUCCAGUUCUUUACAUUGUUUCUGUAAAUACAGCAUGAAUAACCAUUCUUUUAAAAAAGUCUCUAUUGGCCUUGUCUCUUAAUCCUUUGGUUAGCUUUGCCAUUUCCAUGUAUUCUGCCAGUUUUUCUUGCCAUUGUUCUUUAGCUGGUAUUUCAUCGCUUUUCCAUCUUUGGGCCAGUAAUAUUCUAGCUGCUGUUGUCGCAUACAUGAAAAGUUUCUUCUGAUCAUGGACUACCUUGUAAAGCUGAGGAAGGAUUCCCUGGCUGCAGGGAUCAAGGACACAAUGAGAAAGAGCGUGGACACCUCUGGUUCCUCAGAGUGCAAAACUGGAGAAUCUCAUCUCUCUCCCCAUUCCCACGAUUCCACCAUCAGCUGCUGCAGCUGGCAAAAUUUAUAACUCCUGAGGAAGUGCAAGCAGCAAGGGGAAGAUGAACGGUGUCUUACCUGCCAAGCAAGCUAGCCAAAGGGCUCCAUGAUUGACUGCCACAGUCAGCUGCCUCUCCCGACUUCGCUCCGCAAGUAAUGAUCCAUCCUAAACAUCUGCUGUUGAGCAGCAGGAAUCAAUGGCACCCGGCCAACAUUCUGUGCUUCUGAUCAUGUGCAGAGUGCAUUUCCCUCAUUGCUCGGGAAUCACAGCUUUUAAUCUAUUUUAUUGUUUAGUAACAAUCUAUUCUUUUAUUUAGGGAUGCG